rfam:Myotis lucifugus cont2.22652, whole genome shotgun sequence.
GAGACACCCCUAUGGAGCAGGACUUGCUUCAUUGGGGCUUUCAUGCUCACUGAGUCUGCCCCUUGAGUGUGUCACU